rnacentral:rRNA from 1 species
GAAAGCCUACGGGGGGCAGCAGUAGGGAAUUUUCGUCAAUGGGCGCAAGCCUGAACGAGCAAUGCCGCGUGAACGAGGAAGGUCUUCGGAUCGUAAAGUUCUGUUGAAGGGGAAAAAGAGCGGAGAGAGGAAAUGGUCUCCGAUUGAUAUUACCCUUCGAGGAAGUCACGGCUAACUACGUGCCAGCAGCCGCGGUAAUACGUAGGGUGCAAGCGUUAUCCGGAUUUACUGGGUGUAAAGGGCGUGUAGGCGGGGACGCAAGUCAGAUGUGAAAACCACGGGCUCAACCUGUGGCCUGCAUUUGA